rnacentral:rRNA from 1 species
UAGGGAAUCUUCGGCAAUGGACGGAAGUCUGACCGAGCAACGCCGCGUGAGUGAAGAAGGUUUUCGGAUCGUAAAGCUCUGUUGUAAGAGAAGAACGAGUGUGAGAGUGGAAAGUUCACAUUGUGACGGUAUCUUACCAGAAAGGGACGGCUAACUACGUGCCAGCAGCCGCGGUAAUACGUAGGUCCCGAGCGUUGUCCGGAUUUAUUGGGCGUAAAGCGAGCGCAGGCGGUUAGAUAAGUCUGAAGUUAAAGGCUGUGGCUUAACCAUAGUAGGCUUUGGAAACUGUUUAACUUGAGUGCAAGAGGGGAGAGUGGAAUUCCAUGUGUAGCGGUGAAAUGCGUAGAUAUAUGGAGGAACACCGGUGGCGAAAGCGGCUCUCUGGCUUGUAACUGACGCUGAGGCUCGAAAGCGUGGGGAGCAAACAGGAUUAGAUACCCUGGUAGUCCGCGCUGUAAACGAUGAGUGCUAGGUGUUAGACCCUUUCCGGGGUUUAGUGCCGUAGCUAACGCAUUAAGCACUCCGCCUGGGGAGUACGACCGCAAGGUUG